GGGUUGUGAGGUUAAGCGACUAAGCGUACACGGUGGAUGCCCUGGCAGUCAGAGGCGAUGAAGGACGUGCUAAUCUGCGAAAAGCGUCGGUAAGGUGAUAUGAACCGUUAUAACCGGCGAUGUCCGAAUGGGGAAACCCAGUGCAAUUCGUUGCACUAUCGUUAACUGAAUACAUAGGUUAACGAGGCGAACCGGGGGAACUGAAACAUCUAAGUACCCCGAGGAAAAGAAAUCAACCGAGAUUCCCCCAGUAGCGGCGAGCGAACGGGGAGCAGCCCAGAGUCUGAAUCAGCUUGUGUGUUAGUGGAACGGUCUGGAAAGUCCGACGGUACAGGGUGAUAGUCCCGUACACCAAAAUGCACAGGUUGUGAACUCGAAGAGUAGGGCGGGACACGUGGUAUCCUGUCUGAAUAUGGGGGGACCAUCCUCCAAGGCUAAAUACUCCUGACUGACCGAUAGUGAACCAGUACCGUGAGGGAAAGGCGAAAAGAACCCCGGCGAGGGGAGUGAAAAAGAACCUGAAACCGUGUACGUACAAGCAGUGGGAGCACCUUCGGGUGUGACUGCGUACCUUUUGUAUAAUGGGUCAGCGACUUAUAUUCUGUAGCAAGGUUAACCGUAUAGGGGAGCCGCAGGGAAACCGAGUCUUAACUGGGCGUUAAGUUGCAGGGUAUAGACCCGAAACCCGGUGAUCUAGCCAUGGGCAGGUUGAAGGUUGGGUAACACUAACUGGAGGACCGAACCGACUAAUGUUGAAAAAUUAGCGGAUGACUUGUGGCUGGGGGUGAAAGGCCAAUCAAACCGGGAGAUAGCUGGUUCUCCCCGAAAGCUAUUUAGGUAGCGCCUCGUGAACUCAUCUUCGGGGGUAGAGCACUGUUUCGGCUAGGGGGUCAUCCCGACUUACCAACCCGAUGCAAACUACGAAUACCGAAGAAUGUUAUCACGGGAGACACACGGCGGGUGCUAACGUCCGUCGUGAAGAGGGAAACAACCCAGACCGCCAGCUAAGGUCCCAAAGUCAUGGUUAAGUGGGAAACGAUGUGGGAAGGCACAGACAGCCAGGAUGUUGGCUUAGAAGCAGCCAUCAUUUAAAGAAAGCGUAAUAGCUCACUGGUCGAGUCGGCCUGCGCGGAAGAUGUAACGGGGCUAAACCAUGCACCGAAGCUGCGGCAGCGACACUAUGUGUUGUUGGGUAGGGGAGCGUUCUGUAAGCCUGCGAAGGUGUGCUGUGAGGCAUGCUGGAGGUAUCAGAAGUGCGAAUGCUGACAUAAGUAACGAUAAAGCGGGUGAAAAGCCCGCUCGCCGGAAGACCAAGGGUUCCUGUCCAACGUUAAUCGGGGCAGGGUGAGUCGACCCCUAAGGCGAGGCCGAAAGGCGUAGUCGAUGGGAAACAGGUUAAUAUUCCUGUACUUGGUGUUACUGCGAAGGGGGGACGGAGAAGGCUAUGUUAGCCGGGCGACGGUUGUCCCGGUUUAAGCAUGUAGGCUGGUUGUCCAGGCAAAUCCGGAUAAUCAAGGCUGAGGUGUGAUGACGAGGCACUACGGUGCUGAAGUAACAAAUGCCCUGCUUCCAGGAAAAGCCUCUAAGCAUCAGGUAACAUCAAAUCGUACCCCAAACCGACACAGGUGGUCAGGUAGAGAAUACCAAGGCGCUUGAGAGAACUCGGGUGAAGGAACUAGGCAAAAUGGUGCCGUAACUUCGGGAGAAGGCACGCUGGUGUGUAGGUGAAGCCCCUGCGGGUGGAGCUGAGACCAGUCGAAGAUACCAGCUGGCUGCAACUGUUUAUUAAAAACACAGCACUGUGCAAACACGAAAGUGGACGUAUACGGUGUGACGCCUGCCCGGUGCCGGAAGGUUAAUUGAUGGGGUUAUCCGUAAGGAGAAGCUCUUGAUCGAAGCCCCGGUAAACGGCGGCCGUAACUAUAACGGUCCUAAGGUAGCGAAAUUCCUUGUCGGGUAAGUUCCGACCUGCACGAAUGGCGUAAUGAUGGCCAGGCUGUCUCCACCCGAGACUCAGUGAAAUUGAACUCGCUGUGAAGAUGCAGUGUACCCGCGGCAAGACGGAAAGACCCCGUGAACCUUUACUAUAGCUUGACACUGAACAUUGAGCCUUGAUGUGUAGGAUAGGUGGGAGGCUUUGAAGCGUGGACGCCAGUCUGCGUGGAGCCAACCUUGAAAUACCACCCUUUAAUGUUUGAUGUUCUAACGUUGGCCCCUGACCGGGGUUGCGGACAGUGUCUGGUGGGUAGUUUGACUGGGGCGGUCUCCUCCCAAAGCGUAACGGAGGAGCACGAAGGUUAGCUAAUCCUGGUCGGACAUCAGGAGGUUAGUGCAAUGGCAUAAGCUAGCUUGACUGCGAGCGUGACGGCGCGAGCAGGUGCGAAAGCAGGUCAUAGUGAUCCGGUGGUUCUGAAUGGAAGGGCCAUCGCUCAACGGAUAAAAGGUACUCCGGGGAUAACAGGCUGAUACCGCCCAAGAGUUCAUAUCGACGGCGGUGUUUGGCACCUCGAUGUCGGCUCAUCACAUCCUGGGGCUGAAGUAGGUCCCAAGGGUAUGGCUGUUCGCCAUUUAAAGUGGUACGCGAGCUGGGUUUAGAACGUCGUGAGACAGUUCGGUCCCUAUCUGCCGUGGGCGCUGGAGAAUUGAGGGGGGCUGCUCCUAGUACGAGAGGACCGGAGUGGACGCAUCACUGGUGUUCGGGUUGUCAUGCCAAUGGCACUGCCCGGUAGCUAAAUGCGGAAGAGAUAAGUGCUGAAAGCAUCUAAGCACGAAACUUGCCCCGAGAUGAGUUCUCCCUGAGACUUUAAGUCUCCUGAAGGAACGUUGAAGACGACGACGUUGAUAGGCCGGGUGUGUAAGCGCAGCGAUGCGUUGAGCUAACCGGUACUAAUGAACCGUGAGGCUUAACCUUACAACGCCGAAG
rnacentral:rRNA from 1 species